rnacentral:lncRNA from 1 species
GACAUAGGCAUUGUGACAUAGCGUUAGGCUACAGUUGACUUUCUGAAGAUUCUCCAGUCGGAGGACCAUUUGCUUCGGGUGAUCCUGGAUCGUCAAGCCAUGUUGAUGUUGAUUGGAUGUCAGGAGCAGACGAUGUCCAGCACUAACAGAAUGAAUCUACCAGGAGCACAGACUUUGGGAUCACCAUUGUGUCUGUUUUAAGUGUGCGUGUGUGUGUGUGCACGUGCGCAUGCGUGCGUGUGUCUUCCAUUUUGAAACAAUAAGCUAGUGGUUUUCUAACCUGGCUUCUCAUUAGAAUUCAUGCAGAGUUUAGCUUAUAAAAAGUACACCAGUUUUGGCCCCCACCCACCAGGACUGAACUGAAGUCUCUAGUGAUUAAAACUGACAGAUAAAAUACAAGAUACUGAAUUAAAUUUGGAUUCUACAUAAACAGUGAAAAAAAAUACAAGUAUGUUCCAUAAUAUUUAGAACGUACACUUAAAAAUUAUUUUUAUCUAAAAUUUAAAUGUAUCCGGGCAUCUCAGUUUUUUGUUCUAUUUUAUUUUUGUCUUCUUCUUUCCUGUCUAGUAAAUUAACUCUACCAAGGGUCCAAAUUGGGAAUCUCUAUUUUCAGCAAUUCCCAUGCUAAUUAUAUUAAAUCUAGGUCUUUUUUUCCCAAAUUUUCUUCUUUAUUUAUUCUUCUUUUUUAAAUUCAUAUUUCAGACUUAAACCGAAGCACUAUCACACAAUAUACAUGUUUUUAAAAUUGAGGAGUUAAAUAUUUCUUAUAUAAGUAACCAUCUCAAAAGUGUAUUCAUGAUUCCAGGUAAGCGUUUUUAUUUUAAUAAAAUGCUUGUUUCAAAUGUCUUAUUAUUUACAUUGUAUCCAUCAUUGUAUUCAAAAAUAUUUCUACACUAUAUUUACUGUUACAUGAGAUCAUGGCGAUCCAGUUUGGGAUUUUUAAAUGAUAUUAAACCCCUAGUCAAGAAAAUAAGAUGAAAAGCAUGCAAGGUGGUCUUUUCCUGCAAGAUAAUAAAGUUCUAUCUUUUCUCCAGUAGAAGUAGUGCAGUUUCAAAAGUUUUAUCACAAUUAUUUAGAAUGAGGAAAAUAAUAACUAGAGCUUCUUUCAAAAUUACCCUAAAGGGGAGGAAAAAUAAAAAUCAACCCAGAGAAGAACAAAUGGGCAAUUAAGGCAAGUGCAACCAGGUCUCAGGGAGGAAUUUCUUAAUCCCCACAGCUUGUAAUCGGGGGUUAGGACCCAAGAGUGUGAAAAUUGUCAGUGCAGCAACACAAAAUCCUGGAAAGACUCAGUAGGUGCAGAGACUCGAGAUGGUAUAUGAGCAGUUGCUGAGAACCUAGAGUCUGGGAAACACAGCACAUUCCAACACAAAUCCCGGAGCCCAGGUACCAUGGGAACAGCUGAUCCUCCACAAACAUCUAUUGAUAUGUGGAGAUGAGAUGGGCCCUGACAUGCUGUCUGGAUAUUAUGAGCAAGGUGGAGGGUAACCAAGGGGACCAGGCCAACAGCAUGGAGCUGCAUAAAUCCCAGCUGUGAAUUCAAAAGGGAUGCCUAGGCUUGAAUAUUCCUUUUGCCCCCAGCUAAUGUGUGUACUGACCUCUGCUUAAAGAGCUUGGAAAUAUUUUUAAGUAAUUUGGUUCCCAUAAAUAGAAUGUCCUCUUCAGGUGUUACGUGAGGAAGAACUAAAAAUAAUUAGUGCAAAUGAUCCUCAGACCUUCCACCACCUGAAAGAGCUUUAAAAAAAAAGGGAGGUGGCGGGGAAAGGAAUAAAGUUUGGUGCUUUAAAAAGAAAAUAAAAAGUGUUUUGUACUGGA